rnacentral:rRNA from 1 species
AUUGAACGCUGGCGGCAGGCCUAACACAUGCAAGUCGAACGGUAACAGGAAGCAGCUUGCUGCUUUGCUGACGAGUGGCGGACGGGUGAGUAAUGUCUGGGAAACUGCCUGAUGGAGGGGGAUAGCUACUGGAAACGGUAGCUAAUACCGCAUAACGUCGCAAGACCAAAGAGGGGGACCUUCGGGCCUCUUGCCAUCGGAUGUGCCAGAUGGGAUUAGCUAGUAGGUGGGGUAACGGCUCACCUAGGCGACGAUCCCUAGCUGGUCUGAGAGGAUGACCAGCCACACUGGAACUGAGACACGGUCCAGACUCCUACGGGAGGCAGCAGUGGGGAAUAUUGCACAAUGGGCGCAAGCCUGAUGCAGCCAUGCCGCGUGUAUGAAGAAGGCCUUCGGGUUGUAAAGUACUUUCAGCGGGGAGGAAGGGAGUAAAGUUAAUACCUUUGCUCAUUGACGUUACCCGCAGAAGAAGCACCGGCUAACUCCGUG